CGGUAAGGAAGCGGGAGUGACUUAGCGGCGGACGGGUGAGUAACGCGUGGGUAACCUGCCCCAUACCGGGGGAUAACGGUUAGAAAUGACCGCUAAUACCGCUUAAGCGCGCGAGGCCGCAUGGCCGUGCGCGAAAAACUCCGGUGGUAUGGGAUGGGCCCGCGUCUGAUUAGGUAGUUGGCGGGGUAAGGGCCCACCAAGCCGACGAUCAGUAGCCGACCUGAGAGGGUGGCCGGCCACAUUGGGACUGAGACACGGCCCAAACUCCUACGGAAGGCAGCAG
rnacentral:rRNA from 1 species